GUAAUUUGUAGAGGAUACUUUUGAUGCGGUGCCUUCCGAGUUCCCUGGAACGGGACGCCAUAGAGGGUGAGAGCCCCGUCUGGUUGGAUGCCAAAUCUCUGUAAAGUUCCUUCAACGAGUCGAGUAGUUUGGGAAUGCUGCUCUAAAUGGGAGGUAUAUGUCUUCUAAAGCUAAAUACCGGCCAGAGACCGAUAGCGCACAAGUAGAGUGAUCGAAAGAUGAAAAGCACUUUGAAAAGAGAGUUAAAAAGUACGUGAAAUUGUUGAAAGGGAAGCGUUUAUGACCAGACUUGGGCUUGGUUAAUCAUCUGGGGUUCUCCCCAGUGCACUUUUCCAGUCCAGGCCAGCAUCAGUUUUCCCCGGGGGAUAAAGGCGGCGGGAAUGUGGCUCUCUUCGGGGAGUGUUAUAGCCCACCGUGUAAUACCCUGGGGGGGACUGAGGUUCGCGCAUCUGCAAGGAUGCUGGCGUAAUGGUCAUCAACGACCCGUCUUGAAACACGGACCAAGGAGUCGUCUUCGUAUGCGAGUGUUCGGGUGUCAAACCCCUACGCGUAAUGAAAGUGA
rnacentral:rRNA from 1 species